GACGGAAGGUGCAAGCGUUGCUCGGAAUCACUGGGCGUAAAGGGUGCGUAGGCGGCUUGGUGGGUCUGGUGUGAAAGCCCCGGGCUCAGCCCGGGAAGGGCACUAGAAACUGCCGAGCUGGAGUUCUGGAGGGGAUAGCGGAAUUCCUGGUGUAGCGGUGAAAUUCGUAGAUAUUGGGUGGAACACCGGUGGCGAAAGCGGCUCUCUGGUCCGGACCUGACGCUGAGGCGCGAAAGCGUGGGGAGCAAACAGG
rnacentral:rRNA from 1 species